UACGAAGGGGGCUCGCGUUGUUCGGAUUAACUGGGCGUAAAGCGCGCGUAGGCGGGUUUUUAAGUCAGGGGUGAAAUCCCAAGGCUCAACGUUGGAACUGCCUUUGAUACUGGAAAUCUUGAGUCCGGGAGAGGUGAGUGGAACUGCGAGUGUAGAGGUGAAAUUCGUAGAUAUUCGCAAGAACACCAGUGGCGAAGGCGGCUCACUGGCCCGGUACUGACGCUGAGGUGCGAAAGCGUGGGGAGCAAACAGG
rnacentral:rRNA from 1 species